UACGGAGGGGGCUAGCGUUGUUCGGAAUUACUGGGCGUAAAGCGCGCGUAGGCGGCUUUGUAAGUUAGAGGUGAAAGCCCGGAGCUCAACUCCGGAAUUGCCUUUAAGACUGCAUCGCUAGAAUCAUGGAGAGGUUAGUGGAAUUCCGAGUGUAGAGGUGAAAUUCGUAGAUAUUCGCAAGAACACCAGUGGCGAAGGCGGCUCACUGGCCCAUUACUGACGCUGAGGCACGAAAGCGUGGGGAGCAAACAGG
rnacentral:rRNA from 1 species